GACGGAGGAUGCAAGCGUUAUCCGGAAUUAUUGGGCGUAAAGCGUCCGCAGGUGGCAGUUCAAGUCUGCUGUCAAAGACCGGGGCUUAACUUCGGAAAGGCAGUGGAAACUGAACAGCUAGAGUAUGGUAGGGGCAGAGGGAAUUCCUGGUGUAGCGGUGAAAUGCGUAGAGAUCAGGAAGAACAUCGGUGGCGAAGGCGCUCUGCUGGACCAUAACUGACACUCAGGGGCGAAAGCUAGGGGAGCGAAUGGG
rnacentral:rRNA from 1 species